rnacentral:rRNA from 1 species
AGGCAGCAGUGGGGAAUAUUGCACAAUGGGCGCAAGCCUGAUGCAGCAACGCCGCGUGAGGGACGACGGCCUUCGGGUUGUAAACCUCUUUUAGUAGGGAAGAAGCGAUGUGCUUGUCACAUCAUGACGGUACCUGCAGAAAAAGCACCGGCUAACUACGUGCCAGCAGCCGCGGUAAUACGUAGGGUGCAAGCGUUAUCCGGAAUUAUUGGGCGUAAAGAGCUCGUAGGCGGUUUGUCGCGUCUGCUGUGAAAACUGGAGGCUCAACCUCCAGCCUGCAGUGGGUACGGGCAGACUAGAGUGCGGUAGGGGAGAUUGGAAUUCCUGGUGUAGCGGGUGGAAUGCGCA